rnacentral:rRNA from 1 species
CCUACGGGAGGCAGCAGUGGGGAAUAUUGCACAAUGGGGGAAACCCUGAUGCAGCGACGCCGCGUGAGUGAAGAAGUAUUUCGGUAUGUAAAGCUCUAUCAGCAGGGAAGAAGAAAGACGGUACCUGACUAAGAAGCCCCGGCUAACUACGUGCCAGCAGCCGCGGUAAUACGUAGGGGGCAAGCGUUAUCCGGAUUUACUGGGUGUAAAGGGAGCGUAGACGGAGAAGCAAGUCUGAAGUGAAAGCCCGUUGCUUAACCACGGGACUGCUUUGGAAACUGUUUGACUAGAGUGCUGGAGAGGUAAGUGGAAUUCCUAGUGUAGCGGUGAAAUGCGUAGAGAUUAGGAGGAACACCAGUGGCGAAGGCGGCUUACUGGACAGUAACUGACGUUGAGGCUCGAAAGCGUGGGGAGCAAACAGGAUUAGAUACCCGAGUAGUC